rnacentral:rRNA from 1 species
CGCAAGACCAAAGAGGGGGACCUUCGGGCCUCUUGCCAUCGGAUGUGCCCAGAUGGGAUUAGCUUGUUGGUGGGGUAACGGCUCACCUAGGCGACGAUCCCUAGCUGGUCUGAGAGGAUGACCAGCCACACUGGAACUGAGACACGGUCCAGACUCCUACGGGAGGCAGCAGUGGGGAAUAUUGCACAAUGGGCGCAAGCCUGAUGCAGCCAUGCCGCGUGUAUGAAGAAGGCCUUCGGGUUGUAAAGUACUUUCAGCGGGGAGGAAGGGAGUAAAGUUAAUACCUUUGCUCAUUGACGUUACCCGCAGAAGAAGCACCGGCUAACUCCGUGCCAGCAGCCGCGGUAAUACGGAGGGUGCAAGCGUUAAUCGGAAUUACUGGGCGUAAAGCGCACGCAGGCGGUUUGUUAAGUCAGAUGUGAAAUCCCCGGGCUCAACCUGGGAACUGCAUCUGAUACUGGCAAGCUUGAGUCUCGUAGAGGGGGGUAGAAUUCCAGGUGUAGCGGUGAAAUGCGUAGAGAUCUGGAGGAAUACCGGUGGCGAAGGCGGCCCCCUGGACGAAGACUGACGCUCAGGUGCGAAAGCGUGGGGAGCAAACAGGAAUAGAUACCCUGGUAGUCCACGCCGUAAACGAUGUCGACUUGGAGGUUGUGCCCUUGAGGCGUGGCUUCCGGAGCUAACGCGUUAAGUCGACCGCCUGGGGAGUACGGCCGCAAGGUUAAAACUCAAAUGAAUUGACGGGGGCCCGCACAAGCGGUGGAGCAUGUGGUUUAAUUCGAUGCAACGCGAAGAACCUUACCUGGUCUUGACAUCCACGGAAGUUUUCAGAGAUGAAAAUGUGCCUUCGGGAACCGUGAGACAGGUGCUGCAUGGCUGUCGUCAGCUCGUGUUGUGAAAUGUUGGGUUAAGUCCCGCAACGAGCGCAACCCUUAUCCUUUGUUGCCAGCGGUCCGGCCGGGAACUCAAAGGAGACUGCCAGUGAUAAACUGGAGGAAGGUGGGGAUGACGUCAAGUCAUCAUGGCCCUUACGACCAGGGCUACACACGUGCUACAAUGGCGCAUACAAAGAGAAGCGACCUCGCGAGAGCAAGCGGACCUCAUAAAGUGCGUCGUAGUCCGGAUUGGAGUCUGCAACUCGACUCCAUGAAGUCGGAAUCGCUAGUAAUCGUGGAUCAGAAUGCCACGGUGAAUACGUUCCCGGGCCUUGUACACACCGCCCGUCACACCAUGGGAGUGGGUUGC